GGAAUUGUUCGCAAUGGGCGCAAGCCUGACGACGCAACGCCGCGUGGAGGAUGAAGACUUUCGGGUCGUAAACUCCUUUCGACCGGGAUGAAUUCUCAUCGACCUAACACGUCGAUCGGGUGACCGUACCGGGAGAAGAAGCCCCGGCUAACUCCCUGCCAGCAGCCGCGGUAAUACGCGGGGGGCAAGCGUUGUUCGGAAUUACUGGGCGUAAAGGGUUCGUAGGUGGCCCGCUAAGUCAGACGUGAAAUCCCUCAGCUCAACUGGGGAACUGCGUCUGAGGCUGGCGGGCUUGAGUGCAGGAGAGGAACGCGGAAUUCCAGGUGUAGCGGUGAAAUGCGUAGAUAUCUGGAGGAACACCGGUGGCGAAGGCGGCGUUCUGGACUGCUACUGACACUGAGGAACGAAAGCCAGGGGAGCAAAC
rnacentral:rRNA from 1 species